AUUGAACGCUGGCGGCGUGCCUAACACAUGCAAGUCGAGCGGUAACAGGUGUAGCAAUACAUGCUGACGAGCGGCGGACGGGUGAGUAACGCUUGGGAAUCUGCCUGAUAGUGGGGGACAACCCGGGGAAACUCGGGCUAAUACCGCAUACGCACUACGGUGGAAAGCCGGGGACCGCAAGGCCUGGCGCUAACAGAUGAGCCCAAGUCGGAUUAGCUAGUUGGUAGGGUAACGGCCUACCAAGGCGACGAUCCGUAACUGGUCUGAGAGGACGACCAGUCACACCGGAACUGAGACACGGUCCGGACUCCUACGGGAGGCAGCAGUGGGGGAUAUUGGACAAUGGGCGAAAGCCUGAUCCAGCGACGCCGCGUGGGUGAAGAAGGCCUGCGGGUUGUAAAGCCCUUUCGGUGGGGAAGAAAAGCCUCGAGCUAAUACCUCGGGGUCUUGACGUAACCCAUAGAAGAAGCACCGGCUAACUCUGUGCCAGCCGCCGCCGUAACAC
rnacentral:rRNA from 1 species